GCAUAUCAAUAAGCGGAGGAAAAGAAACUAACAAGGAUUCCCCUAGUAACUGCGAGUGAAGCGGGAAAAGCUCAAAUUUAAAAUCUGGCGGUCUUCUGGCCGUCCGAGUUGUAGUCUGGAGAAGCGUUUUCCGCGUUGGACCGUGUACAAGUUUCCUGGAACGGAGCGUCAUAGAGGGUGAGAAUCCCGUCUUUGACACGGAUCCCAAUGCUUUGUGAUGCGCUCUCAAAGAGUCGAGUUGUUUGGGAAUGCAGCUCAAAAUGGGUGGUGAAUUCCAUCUAAAGCUAAAUAUUGGCGAGAGACCGAUAGCGAACAAGUACCGUGAGGGAAAGAUGAAAAGCACUUUGGAAAGAGAGUUAAACAGUACGUGAAAUUGUUGAAAGGGAAACGCUUGAAGUCAGUCGCGUCGGCCGGGACUCAGCCUUGCAUCCGCUUGGUGUACUUUCCGGUCGACGGGCCAGCAUCAGUUUUGACCGCGAGAUAAAGGCGGAGGGAAUGUGGCUCUCUCGGGAGUGUUAUAGCCCUUCGUCAGAUGUCGCGGUUGGGACUGAGGAACUCAGCACGCCUUUAUGGCCGGGGCUCGCCCACGUACGUGCUUAGGAUGCUGGCGUAAUGGCUUUAAACGACCCGUCUUGAAACACGGACCAAGGAGUCUAACAUGCCUGCGAGUGUUCGGGUGGAAAACCCGUGCGCGCAAUGAAAGUGAAAGUUGGGAUCCCUGUCGUGGGGUGCACCGACGCCCGGCCCAGACCUUUUGUGACGGAGCUGCGGUAGAGCAUGUAUGUUGGGACCCGAAAGAUGGUGAACUAUGCCUGAAUAGGGUGAAGCCAGAGGAAACUCUGGUGGAGGCUCGUAGCGAUUCUGACGUGCAAAUCGAUCGUCAAAUUUGGGUAUAGGGGCGAAAGACUAAUCGAACCAUCUAGUAGCUGGUUCCUGCGA
rnacentral:rRNA from 1 species